GCAAGUAAAAGUCGUAACAAGGUUUCCGUAGGUGAACCUGCGGAAGGAUCAUUACUGAGUGAGGGCCCCUCGGGGUCCAACCUCCCACCCGUGUUUAACGAACCUUGUUGCUUCGGCGGGCCCGCCUCACGGCCGCCGGGGGGCAUUUGCCCCCGGGCCCGCGCCCGCCGAAGCCACCUGUGAACGCUGUCUGAAGUAUGCAGUCUGAGACAAUUAUUAAAUUAAUUAAAACUUUCAACAACGGAUCUCUUGGUUCCG
rnacentral:misc_RNA from 1 species